GGUUCCCAUAUGAUCACUGAAGUUAAGCAAUAUUGAGCAUAGGCAGUACCUAGAUGGAUGACUGCUUCGGAAUACAACGUGCUGUAAG